rnacentral:rRNA from 1 species
GACGAACGCUGGCGGCGUGCUUAACACAUGCAAGUCGAACGGUAAGGCCCUGCUUUUGUGGCGUGUUCGAGUGCCGCGCAGGUGUGUAUCACGUGAGUAACCUCCCCUUGACUUUGGGAUAACUUCUGGAGACUGGGGCUCAUACCGGAUAUAAGCUCCUGCAGCACGGUGUGUGUGGGAAAGUUUCGGCGGUUGGGCAUGGACGCGCGGCCUAUCAUCUUGUUGGUGGGGUAGUGGCUUACCGAGGCUUUGACGGGUAGCCGGCCUGAGAGGGUGACCGGCCACAAUGGGACUGGGAUAGGGCCCAGACGCCUUCGUGAGGCAGCAGUGGAGGAUAGUGCGCGAUGGGCGGAAGCCUGAUGCAGGGUCGCCGGGUGCGGGAUGACGGCCUUUAGGUUGGAAACCGCGUUCGCGUGUGAAGAAGAGUGAGUGACGGUAAUGGGUCAAGAAGCAACGGCUAACUACGUG